rnacentral:rRNA from 1 species
GACGAACGCUGGCGGCGUGCUUAACACAUGCAAGUCGAACGGUAAGGCUCCAGCUUGCUGGGGUACACGAGUGGCGAACGGGUGAGUAACACGUGGGUGACCUGCCCUGCACUUCGGGAUAAGCCUGGGAAACUGGGUCUAAUACCGGAUAGGACCGCACCGUGAGGGGGUGGUGGAAAGUUUUUUCGGUGUGGGCUGGGCCCGCGGCCUAUCAGCUUGUUGGUGGGGUAAUGGCCUACCAAGGCGGCGACGGGUAGCCGGCCUGAGAGGGUGGACGGCCACAUUGGGACUGAGACACGGCCCAGACUCCUACGGGAGGCAGCAGUGGGGAAUAUUGCACAAUGGGCGGAAGCCUGAUGCAGCGACGCCGCGUGGGGGAUGACGGCCUUCGGGUUGUAAACUCCUUUCACCAUCGACGAAGGGUUUCUGACGGUAGAUGGAGAAGAAGCACCGGCUAACUACGUGCCAGCCGCCGCGGUAAGAC